rnacentral:rRNA from 1 species
CCCUUAGAUGUUCUGGGCCGCACGCGUGCUACACUGAGUGGAUCAGCGGGUCAGGUUACGCGGGAGCGUUUCCUAAUCUUCAAAUCCGCUCGUGAUGGGGAUUGACGGUUGCAAUUUUCCGUCAUGAACGAGGAAUACCUUGUAAGCGCGGGUCAUCAUCCCGCGCUGAAUACGUCCCUGCCCUUUGUACACACCGCCCGUCGCUCCUACCGAUUGAGUGGUCCGGUGAGGCUUUGGGAUCUAAGCGAAAAGAGCGUUUCGCUCCUUUUGCUGGGAGAACUCAGUCGAACCUUAUCAUUUAGAGGAAGGAGAAGUCGUAACA